CCUACGGGUGGCUGCAGUGGGGAAUUUUGGACAAUGGGCGCAAGCCUGAUCCAGCAAUGCCGCGUGCAGGAAGAAGGCCUUCGGGUUGUAAACUGCUUUUGUACGGAACGAAACGGUCUGGGUUAAUACCCUGGGCUAAUGACGGUACCGUAAGAAUAAGCACCGGCUAACUACGUGCCAGCAGCCGCGGUAAUACGUAGGGUGCAAGCGUUAAUCGGAAUUACUGGGCGUAAAGCGUGCGCAGGCGGUUGUGUAAGACAGGCGUGAAAUCCCCGGGCUCAACCUGGGAAUGGCGCUUGUGACUGCACAACUGGAGUGCGGCAGAGGGGGAUGGAAUUCCGCGUGUAGCAGUGAAAUGCGUAGAUAUGCGGAGGAACACCGAUGGCGAAGGCAAUCCCCUGGGCCUGCACUGACGCUCAUGCACGAAAGCGUGGGGAGCAAACAGGAUUAGAUACCCUAGUAGUC
rnacentral:rRNA from 1 species